UGGAACUCCACUUAGCAGCUAAAGUUCAUCCUCUGAAGUCUGGGAAGUCCAAGCUCAAGGUGAAGCCUCCUCAGGUGGCAAAGAGCAGAAGCACAAAAGAGACCAAACUCCCUCCCUCAAGCUCUUUUACAAGAACACUGAGACAUUCACAAGUGCUGAGUCCUCAAACCUACUAACCUCCUGAAGGCUACACCUCAAAUACGGAUUGAAUUUUCGCAUGAGUUUUGAGGGACACCCAUUCAAAGCAUAGCACCCUUCGGCUUCAGAGAAGCUCCAGCCCUGUUGUCACCAAGCAGGUUCCCCCUAGGCAGAGCGCCAAGAAGCAGCCCAGGCGAUCCCAAGGCGCACAAGUGCUCUCACCAGGCUGCGCGCUGGCGGGUCGGUGCACAGGGACGGGGUCGCCGCCCACGCGCGCUUGGUUCAGGGAGCCCAGGCUGUCCCUACCCGCGGCUACAAAAGCUCGCCGAGUCUUCCUGUCCACCCAAUCGCCCCACAUGUCAGCGGUUGGUCGCCUCGCGGUGCAGUGCUGGGCACGCGAGCCCCUCCCGCAGUCAUUCUCAGCACAAGCACCAGCCUGGAGCCCCGCAGCGACAGAGCUGAGAGCCCCCAAGCCGCAGAGGUCGUGCGGAGCAGGUUGCAAAUGUCUUAGAAACACACUCCUGGACCACAGCUUCAAGAGACGCAAGCAGUCACCUCAUCUGCUGGUUUCCAAGCUGCCCUGCCAGAAGCAGGUCAGGGGUCCCACAGGGGUCCUCAGUAACUCCUCAAAAUCCUCUCCCAUCAAUGGCCCCACCAGAUCAUCCCUACUUUUGAAUGCUUGUCCAAUGCAGGUUCCAGGUUGGUCUAAUUGAAGGCAAUGGAGAAGUAAGUCUUUAUGGAUCAAAAUCUUAGCUCUAGAAAAGUUGCCCUUGGCUAUAAAGCCUGAAGUGGGUGUUGGAGUAGUCAACGACUAACCCAGGAUGGAUUUGUGCCAAUACACAAGUGACAACAUCUUUCACAGCUGAAGAGUCGGAGGAUAAAGCCAUGCCCACAGAUCGUUGUCACACAGAUUUGAUUAAGUGAAACAAAGCCCCAGCUGCUGGAGCAGAGGUUCCACUUGGGUUCCACAGACACCCACAGCCCAAAUCCCUGGAGGCCUAAGGCAAUAGCUAAUUGAGACUAUGCAUCACUAUUAAGGCAUCUUCACUAAAGGGCGCUGUGGAAACGCUGCCUGAGAUGCAGACACCUGUCAGAAGGGGGCUAAAUUUCAAACAAGGAACGUGGUGUUGCAUCACAAUAAAGUAGAUUCUAGUAUUACCUUCCUUUUUCAGAAGAGGAGACCAAUGGGGAGCAUUGGAAUGAUUUGGUUGCAAGCAUACUACACUACUUGUAAACUGCAGACACAGGCUUAAAAAAAGUGAAAAACUAACCAUGCAAUAAAGAAUGGAAUGAACCAUGAAGCUGUUUCUGUGGCCAGUCAUGUUUUUGAAGCAUAUCCCAUGCUAAUUUCUAGAACAGAAGAAACACACGUGUUCUUGUGUGUAAACCCAGUCCAUGGAAGAGACCGUCUGCUUGUCCCUCCUGAUCUCUGGGCCCAGACAACCAGUAGUCACCAUUCCAAGUGAGGGGUGGCUGCAACUCUACAGCCCCGUUCGUCUCUCCUCACUGUCAAAGCUGCUGAGACCCCAGACUCGACACUUGAAAGAAACCCAUGUCUGUGAAGCACUUGUGGACCAUUCAAGAUUGUGGAAGAAUCACUCAAGAGAAGGAGAUAGCAAUAUUUGCAGAUAUGCAAACUGGCCCCUUGCAUGCACAUCCUGGAGCACGUCCUGGAGCCUUUAGAGGAGACGGCUGCUGCUGUUCCAGUCUCUCCUUAGGCAGACUUGAGUUUCUACCCACUCUUCCCAAGCAGCCGCCCCUCCGCACCCGAGCGAGCCAAAGACCUGGCGGGCUGAGUACUCACUGCGCGCUGGACACAUGCUGAGCCGGCACUGCAGGGACACAGGGCGAGCCGCUGGAUGCAGACCUGUGGCCGCGGCAGUUGGGCUUAUCUUGCCCAUGAAGUUGCCUCUGAAGAACCAAGUCCAACUGUGUAUGCUGAGAGAUGUCUGGCUACUUCCUGAUUGACAGUUCUGGCAAGGUGGCAUUGGGCCCUGGCUUUUCCUCUGGAGGCAUCAUCACUUAUAGGAAAAUGUCCCCUGAAGUCCAAGGAUCAAAGCUGCUGGAACACUGAGAAGCUGAACAAAGGAGAACUGUUUCUCAUCAAACCCAGACUUCCAGACUUCCAAUAGGGUAGAAUGAGCAAGUCAGCAAAUCAUCUUCCUUGGAAACAGUGAUAAAACUAGAUGACAUUGUCAACAACAGCCAUUUCAGAAAUCUAGAAAAUGACCAAAGGCAAACAACAAACUGAGAAGCAUUUUUUUUUCCAUGAAAAAUCGCUCUAUUUCUGCAAAAAUAGUGGGAGUCUAUGGCUUCUCAUCCAGGGCUGUUUCUCUCCCCACCCCAGCUCAGUCAGUACAAAGGUUCUGGCAGCAUGAGGCAGACUGAACAGACCUGAAGUUUGAUUGCUGGAAGAAACUGACUCCAGGUUUGGCAGAGGGUGAGAAACCUACUCCCAGCCAUGUUGUCUGGUGACACAGUGACCUUAGGGACAAGUGAAUAGGGAAGGCCAGUGAUUCAUUAACCUGAGGUUGCAGUCCUGGUUGGGGAAAGCAUCAGAAUGGCAGAUAAGCUAGAAAUUUAGUAGGGAUAUGCUGGAAAUGAGACAACCCCAAAGGGGCUUGACCCCAAAGUUGUCCACACACCCCAGCUGCCUUCUGAGCAGAUGUAGGGAGAGACCAGAGAAGGCCUAGGCUAUCCACACAUCUCUGGCUAACCCAGGCUGUAAACCUGUGGAGGAGACACAAGAGGUGGAUUGAUUGCUAAUGGGCAUAUGGGGGAUCUUACUGGUUGAUAGGAACAUUCUCAAAUUGGAUUGUGGUGAUGCUUGCACAACUCUAAGUUUAUCCCAAAUUGCUAAAUUUUACACUAAAAAGGGGUGAACUUUAGGGUAUAUAAAUUAUACAUCAAUAAAGUUGUCAUAAAGCAUUCACAUUCUAAUAAAUGGCUCUAAGAAAUAUUGUUUUGAAAAUUUUCCUUUGGUAUAUUAUGGCACUCCAAAAUCAACUUCUGUCAGAACAAUAAUUAACUAUUUCUGAUUAUAGAUAUUGGUCAUCUACAAUGAUUUAUUCAGUCUUUUAUGUCCCGCAUAAGGGCUUAGAAUGCUUUAAAUUUCUAAGACCAUCAAUAGCCAGGACUCACCUGAAAACUAUAUAUAUUUUUAAAAAGACGUAUGCUCUGGGACACCAUAUGCUAACAUUUGUUGAGCACACAGUUUGCUACAGAGGUUAAGAGGUGUACUAUUUAAAUCUAACUUCCUCAAGGGGCUCACACUAUUACAAUAGUAAGCUAAAGAGAUAGAAGAAAAGUUUAUAUAUAAAAUCUCAGUACAGGGAUGGGGUUGGUAACAAAUAAGAUGCUGCCACUUACACUUGAUAAAUUAUAAAAUAUCUAUUGCAUUCAUUAUUGGAGGCUGACCCUUAUAAAAACCUUGUGGGUACUGCAAAAGACAGGGAAACCGAGGCUCAGAGUGGUUCAGCAACUUGUGUGAGGUCACAUACCUCAUGUCAAAGCUGAGAUUUAAAUGUGUGUGGCUAGGCUGGACAUGGUGGCUCACACCUGUAAUCCUAGCACCCUGGGAGGCUGAGGUGGAACACACUCCUUGUUUGUGUCCAGGAGUUCAAGACCAGCCUGGACAACAUAAUGAGACCUCAUCUCUACAAAAAAUAAAAAAUUAGCUGGGUGUGGGGCCACGCACCCCAAGGUUCUCAGGAGGCUGAGGCAGGAGGACUGCUUGAAAUCAGGAGGUUGAGCCUGCAGUGAGCUGUGAUCAUGCCACUGCACUCUGCCUGGGUGACAGAGUGAGACCCUGUCUCAAAAAAAUAAAAAUAAAAACAAAUAAAUGUGUGUGGCUGAUUCUCAUGCAAAUAUUGGUGAAGAUCUGGUAGUGAUGUAAAUUGGUAGAACCUCAGUGGGAGAUAACUUUGCAAUAGCUAUCAAAUGAAAACUGUGUAUAUUCUUUGUUUCAGGAAUUUCACUUCUAAGAUGUUUUUAAUAUAGCAGAAAUGGUUAUCCAUAAAGAAUUAGUUCAAUACAUUUUAUCUGUAAAAUGGAAUGCAAUGCGGCCAUUAAAAAGGAGGCAUAUCUGAGUAUACUAAUAUAGAAUGGUCUGCAAGAUAUAUUAACUUUUUUACAAAAGCUGUUCCCCACACUUCUUCGUGUUGUUUGAAAAGACGUGAAGGCUCAGACAGGCCUUCAUUGUGACUUGCCCAGGAUGAGUAGCAGGGCUGGAAUUCCUACUCAGGAGUCCAGAUUUAUAGGCUUCCUCUUUGCUUUAUCCUAUUUCAUAGCUGUCUCUGUUGCCAGAGCCAUGGAAGG
rnacentral:lncRNA from 1 species